UACGGGGGGGGCAAGCGUUGUUCGGAAUUACUGGGCGUAAAGAGCUCGUAGGUGGUUUGUCGCGUUGUUCGUGAAAACUCACAGCUUAACUGUGGGCGUGCGGGCGAUACGGGCAGACUGGAGUACUGCAGGGGAGACUGGAAUUCCUGGUGUAGCGGUGGAAUGCGCAGAUAUUAGGAGGAACACCGGUGGCGAAGGCGGGUCUCUGGGCAGUAACUGACGCUGAGGAGCGAAAGCGUGGGGAGCAAACAGG
rnacentral:rRNA from 1 species